GCGUCAACAAUCAGAUGCACUUCCGGUUCCGCUCUGGCAGCGGGCGCUGUGUGGAGAUGCUCGGGUUAGUAGCUGAGAGGUAACGUUAACCGGUGCGCACCUGACCGAGCAGCGGGAGCGCGAGACAGACAGACAGACACUGCGACACGUGCGACACUCGGCACAGCACAGCACGCGCGAGUGGAACCGACACCCGAGAGAGUGAGUGAGAGAGAGCGCGCGCGCGCCUGCCUCGAGCCGCUCGCUGGUCGUCAUGGCGAAGAACACGCUGUGGUCGCGGUUCCGGGGCGUGGACAUCGACCAGUACGAUGAGAACCGGUUCGUGGACGAGAACGAGGAGGCCGCGGAGCAGCAGGGACCCGACGGAGCCGAGGUGGACGCGCUCAUCAGGCAAGGAGACAUGAUGACGGCGUUCCACGUGGCUCUGAAGAACCCGCCCAUCAACUCCAAAAACCCAGCCGUGAAGGAGCGUGCCCAGGCCGUGGUGCUGCGUGUUCUCACCUCCUUUAAGAGCAGCGACAUCGAGACGGCCGUGAAGUCUCUGGAUAAGAACGGCGUGGAUCUGCUGAUGAAGUACAUCUACAGAGGGUUCGAGAAGCCUUCAGAUAACAGCAGCGCCAUCCUGCUGCAGUGGCACGAGAAGGCGUUUGCUGUUGGAGGUUUGGGUUCCAUCAUACGAGUCCUGACGGCACGGAAAUCGGUGUGAAAAAAACACAUUUAAAGAAAAUCCAGAGCCACGGGAUCGAUCGCUUUUCUUUUUUUUCCCCGCCCCUUCUCUUAAAUAUGGACAGUUCACAUUAAUCCACAUCACAGUCAGGAGUGCUCACACACACACACUCUCUCACACACUACACUCAACAGAGUAUGUUAUUUAAUUCUGCCCGGACGAGUGUGUGGUGUCGUAUUUAUUGUAUGUUAAUGAAUCACGUUAAUAUUUUAUCGCCUGGAGUCUAAGAGGGAAGAGGAUAAGGACUCCAGGCCAUCUAAACUCGGAUCGAUUUUGGCCAGCGCUCUCGGAUACGCACUUCUCAUCUCUUCAGAUUUUUCUUUUUUGUACAGAAAGAUGAUUAAUAUAUAGCGUGGGGAUUAAUAUACAGCGUGGAGGUCGCGGGGGGAUUAAUAUAUAUAGCGUGGAGGGCGCGUGGGGGUUAAUUUACGGCGUGGGGGGGGAUUAAUAUACAGCGCGGAGGUCGCGGGGGGAUUAAUAUAUAUAGCGUGGAGGUCGCGGGGGGGUUAAUAUAUAUAGCGUGGAGGGCGCGUGGGGGUUAAUUUACAGCGUGGAGGUCGCGGGGGGGUUAAUAUAUAUAUAGCGUGGAGGGCGCGUGGGGGUUAAUUUACGGCGUGGGGGGGAUUAAUAUAUAUAGCGUGGAGGGCGCGUGGGGGUUGAUUUACGGCGUGGGGGGGGAUUAAUAUACAGCGUGGAGGUCGCGGGGGGAUUAAUAUAUAUAUAGCGUGGAGGGCGCGUGGGGGUUAAUUUACGGCGUGGGGGGGAUUAAUAUACAGCGUGGAGGUCGCGGGGGGAUUAAUAUAUAUAGCGUGGAGGUCACGCAUGUCCCGAUUAUGUCACGAGCCAUAAGCGUCACAGAGUCAAAAAGGGGCGGGGCUUAAAUUUACUUUGCUAAUCGUGUUAAGACGUGCGUGUAGCUACUUCAUACAACGUAGCUAAUGCUACCCUUAAACCUUUCUGCGACAGCUAACCGAUUAUAAUCCUACAGCAGACAACGGAACAAACACGAACAAAUCCAGCUCAUUGCUAUGUAACGAUGUUAUAUAAAGUUCGCGAUCGGUCGAUCUCUGCCCCGCCCUUUCGGCGUCGCCUGACGCUGGGGACAUGCGAGCGCGUGUGUACGUGUGGGGGGUGGUGUGUGUGUGUGUGUGUGUAUGGGGGGUGGUCCGGGGGUCAUAUGUGAAGUGCCUGGUGCAAUAAAGAUCACAAAUCUGUUUUGCGUCUGUGUGUGUUUGCUGAUUGAAGCCUAAACACGUCUGGAGUUCAGGCCUCGCUCUGGAUCGCUUUGUCGGUUCCUCAGAUGUUUCCUGUUUUGUCGCAUUCUUACCGUCGCGCACACAUGGGAGGUGUAAAUUAGACGCUCGCCGAGCACGUGGCUCGUAUUAGCGCGCGCGUACACCGCUCAAGUCUAGAGUAUUGAGAUAUUACCUUAUCACGUUCAAAAAAAGGACAAUAAGUACAAACUGACCACAUCACGGAUCAGUUGAUGUCAGUUGUUAAAACUGUAAAAAUUUUCCAGACCGUUUUUCCGUAAAGGGCCUGAAAGUGCCGUAUUGCUAUUCCUACAUGUACGUUUAUACAUAUAUAUAUAUAUAUAUAGCAUCGUGAAGAUCGAAAUCUAAACCCGAGCUACAAUGACGAAGACGCACGCAACAAAAAGAUCAAAAUCAAAAAGAUCAUUUAUUCAAGUUUGUUGACAGACGGCCGAGAGUCGGAUGUGCAGUGGUACUUUAUUAAAGCAGAGCACGCGGCGGGAUUACGGUCACAGCAGCACAAACCAGAACCAGAGCAAUGAAAAACAGCGUGUAAGCUGAAG